rnacentral:rRNA from 1 species
AUGCUGGUCACGCAAGCGCUGGGGCGGAGCACGGGGCCGGUGAACAUGGCGCGGCGCUUGAUGAGUAGCCGCGCGUGGUCCCUGUCGUCGCCGGCCUCCCCGCAGCCACGCUACCGGAGCAUCAUCACCGUGCUGAGCAUCGACGGCGGCGGCGUCCGUGGGAUCAUCCCCGGCACCAUCCUUGCUUUACUCGAAGAGAAGCUCCAGGAGCUCGAUGGGCCGGACGCAAGGAUCGCGGACUACUUCGACGUGGUCGCAGGGACGAGCACCGGAGGCCUGGUGGCCGCCAUGCUCAACGCGCCCAACCCCAAGGGCCGCCCGCUCUUUGCCGCCAAGGACGUCAACAAGUUUUACCUCGAGCACUGCCCGAAUAUCUUCCCUGCCAUCUGGGCCUAUGGUUUGGCUCAGGAGCAUGAUGGGGCCCAAGCGGUCGUGAAGGAGCUGCUCGGCGACACGCGAGUCCAUCAGACCCUCAAGAACAUUGUCAUUCCCACUUUUGACAUCAAGCUCCUCCAGCCUACCAUCUUUUCAACCUACGAUGCCAUGAGAGAUGUCUCCAAGAAUGCUCUUCUGUCGGACGUCUGCAUUAGCACGUCCGCCACGCCGACCUAUCUCCCCGGCCACCAUUUCGAGACCAAGGACAAAGACGGCAAGACCCGGGCCUUCAACCUAAUCGACGGAGGCGUCGUGGCUAACAAUCCGACGCUGUUGGCGAUGACCCACAUAAGCAAGCAGAUCCUGCUGGGAAACCUGGACUUCUUCCCCAACAAGCCUGCGGGUUACGGCAAGUUCAUGAUCCUUUCGCUGGGCACCGGCACCGCUAAGAUCGUAGAGAAGUUUGACGCAAUUGAGUGCGGCAAGUGGGCCCUUCUCGGGUGGCUCUACAAGAGAGGUGCCACGCCGAUCAUUGAUAGCUUCAGCGAGGCUAGUGUCGACCUCGUUGACAUCCAAGCAUCCGUGCUCUUUCAGACCCUGCACUGCAACAAGUGCUAUCUCCGGAUCCAGUACAACGAGCUCACCAGCGAAAUGGCCUCCGUUGACGUGUCCACAUCGAAGAACCUCAACGGGCUUGUUGGCGUUGGCAAAGCGCUGCUAAAGGGACAGGUGUGCAAGAUGAACGUCGAGACAGGCACGAAUGAGCCCGAUCUAAAGAGGGGCGCCAACGAGGAGGAACUAGUCCAUUUUGCCCGUAUGUUGUCGGAAGAGCGCGACACUCGGAAGGUGGGCUACAAACAUGGAUAG